rnacentral:lncRNA from 1 species
CUGUAUGGUUGCGUAUCAAAUUCGGCUAGCAGAUUCUAUUCCUUCUAAAUAACAUGAUUCCUGAAUGCCGUGAUCAUUUUGGGUGACAAGAACAAGAUGAAUGCCAAGAAUGAGCCAAAGAAUAACUUGAUGAAAUAUUUGACAGNGUCAUGAUCAGCAUCUUCAGAAGUGCUUAUCUGAGAAUACAUUGCUUUUGCUGAUGGCAGAGCUUCUAUUACUGCAUCGGCCAAAUCUGUAAUGAAGGAAGGGGUAAGACCAAGGGCAGGUACACGUGCCCAAUUCUUGAUGAAGAUUCAAGAGACAGUAGCAACAUAGCUGAAAACUCGCAACAAUUCAACUUAAGGAGCAGUAGCACUUCUAAGUUGUUGAAAACACAAAGAUCAACCAAAUUGCUGAAAACACAAAUACUGGGAAAGCAGUUAUAUGAAUUGGAGUCUGUGUUGAGGCAACUUGCUUUAAAAACCAGCAAGUUAAUGUAGUGAAAAAAACAGUGUAGCCUGUGCACUACUACAGAUCAUUAUACAAAUGAAUUUACUCGGUUCUCAGAAAAUACAAAUCCUGAAAUAACAUUAAAUUUGAGCAAAACAUUUCAAUGACUACAUCCAUCACUGAAUUAAAACAACAAAUUUGAAGAUGUACACAAUGGAACUUUGACAAUGGAGUUUGGUGAAGCAAGGUGCAGUUCAACAAUUUCAAUGCCAUGGAUCAACCUAUAGAAGGCCAUUUUGUUUUAUAUGAUCAUCCUGUUUUCUGAGUAAUACUUUAAAUCCUGAUGAAAUUGAAACUGCUGUAAGUAAUGAACUAGGAUUGGAAUUAGAUAUUAAUUCAGCUUUUGCAUUUUUAGUAUUAUUGGAUUCUUUUUCUCAAAACAAUGAAACAAUUCCGGCCCCUUAACUGCUUUGAGGCACUAGCUGAGGAAUUCAUUGAGAAAUUUUGUAAUUCUGCUGCACUUUUUAUUAAUGCAUAUUUUGCAUAUUGGAAAUUUGAGAAGGAAACUUCAUGCAACAUAGCAAGAAUUCGAGUUGAAACCACUUCAAUCACACCUCAUAGCUGCUAAUGAAUUUUUUUCAUUCCUUUUGUCCAUAAUUUCACUGAUUUUGAUUUGAAUAUUCGAGUUGAUUUUAGUGCUCCACCUAUCUAUGAUGAUUAUAAUGAGUCAGCUACUAUUACCGAAUUUAAUAUUCAAGCUUUUGAAAUUGAUGCAACUCUACUUGACACUUCUGGCGGUUCUGAUUUUAGGACUAUUGUAGACUUUAAUGUUGAUUUUCAUACUAGUGCUCAUAUUAAAUGCAUAGCAAUUGAAGUUGACACAAUUGCUCACUCUAACACUGAAUUUACGCCUGAUUAUUCUAAUAUUGAUAUACCUGUUGCUGCAUGCUUUAAUUUUGCAGUUUAUGAUUUUUAAAGUGUUCAUCAUAAGUUUUAUGUUGUUGAUCAUUUGUGUUGUGAUCUUCAAACGCAUGGACAAAUAGGCCAGAAUGGUUAAGCAAAAGGAAGCAAAGCUUCAAGUUAACUUCAAACUUUUGUUUGUAGUAGUACAUAUUUUUUCUUUAGCUUGAUAGUCAAUAUAGAUUCAUAAAUAGAUGGUAAAUUUUAUUAUUUUUCUGUUUAGUUAAGUCUGUUCACGGUUGUACUUUACUACUUUUAAAUUUCUUUUAGUUGAUCUGAACUUUGAUACUUUUGUAGUUUUUCAAUCAUUUGUUAAUUUAGAAGUUUAAGAAUCUUACUGCAUUAUAGAUUUGAUGUGACUUUGACUCUGAAGAGUGUUUUGAUGAUUCCUUUUACUACUUUCUUUCAUAUUUUCUGUUUUAGUUUAUAGUUACUAUGUGCUUUUUGAAUUUGCAGUUUUAAUUAUGAAUAUUAGUAGCUUAUUUAGAUUGUUUUAGUUUAUUGUUUUGUUUUUUUACCAGCAACUGAAAUCGGAUAUACACAGUUUUAUUUAAAUAGACUUCUAGUUACACGAUUAUUUAGAAUUCUAUUUUCUUAGCCGGGUGGUUUUGUUUCAAGUUUUUAAGAUGUUUUUCAACUAGUGAACAUUUAAUUCAAUAACUAAUUUAUCAAUUUAUUUUCUAUAUUAGUAUAUAUAAUUUCUAUUUGGACUACCAAUUUUAGUUUCAUUUCAAAGUAACUUUAUAUCAUAAUAUAAAUUAUCAAUUACAAAUAUAAAAUAUAAUAUAUAAUAUAUAUUCUUAAAAACAUCUUUUAUAUAUUUUAAUUAUAAUAUAGUUCACAAAGUAAAACUAUGCACAAAAUUUUAAAAUAAUAGCAUAUAAAGGAUUCAGAGAAGCAAUGAGAAAGAGAAAAUUCAACUCCAUUUCUGUGUUUUUAGAAACCCUAAGACCCAAUCUUUUGUUUCAGCACAGCAUCUGACUCCUCUUCGUCUCUAACCUUAACGUAACAGUUAAGGUUCUUCCUUCUGUUCCUUUCACUUACCCAAUCACUUUGUGUUUUUAGAUAAACACUAACGCCCAAUAUUUUGUUUCCGCACAGCAUCGCUCUCCUCUUCUUCUUUGACCUAACACUUCCAAUAUCAAAGUUAAGGUUCUCUCUUUCUUAUUCCAUUUCCAAGUUUUCUCCUUUUCUUUCAAACCCUUCUUCCUUCUCUUCCUUUCACUUACACUAUCACUCCCAGCCUGACCAUGACAAUGUUCACAACCUCGUCUCCCAAUUUUACCGCAUGUUUCAUAUGCGUCUUGUUCCUCCCAUCUACGGAUGAAACACUAUUCUACAACUAUUUCCCUUUUUAAGCAAAUGGAGCUCAAGGGAAUUCAGAGUAAUUUUUUUAUUCUCAACAUCGUCAUAAAUUGUUUCUGUUCUUAGGUCAAAUGCCCUUCUCUCUCUAUUCUUGCCAAGAUUCUCAAACAAGGUUAUCAUCCACAUGUCAUAACCUUAACUACCCUUAUGAAAGGUCUCUGUCUUAAUAGUGAGGUCAAGAAAACUCUUAGCCUUAAUGACAAGGCAGUAGAGAAGUAUUUCGGUUUCGACCUGACGAGGUUAGUUUCGACUUGAAAGCCUUCUGCUAUUGCCUUGUCAUAAAGUCUCAAGAAUGGAAGACAAUUGUUGCGUACCUGAUGUAGUAACUUUUGAAAUAAUGAUUACAACUCUUUUUGGAGAGGAUGAGAAUGAUAAGGUAGAAAUAUUUCUUCGUGAAAUUAUAUUUAGAGGGUUGUUGACAUGAUAAAAGGUGAAAUCUCAUUUCUGUAUUUAGUUACAUUUAUGUCUUCCUACAUAAUGUUCUUAAUGGUUUGUAUGUAAUGGUUUGUAUGUGUUGUGUCUGUUUGAUAGGAGAAGUGUGACCUUUCUGCAAUUGAUGACUGUCCUACUACGAGACGAAUUGGAUGUGGAGUUGAAAAUUUUUUAUUUUGAACUCUAGUGUUCCAUUGCUAUAGAACUUCUGUGUAUUUUUUUAUUUUUUUUGCAUUGCAUUGUCUGUCAAGACCAAAACCCUGAUCUCCCUCCAUAAAUUCUAAUGGUUUAUUUUUUUUUCAAGUUCAUUUAACUUUGUAGAGGUUCUCUACCACUUAACGUAAUUGAGGAAGUUUAGUAUCAUACUACAUUACCUUAUUGAUAUUGAUAUAAGUCAUUACAAGUUUCAAAUUAUGUAAAUAAGGUUCAAUAAAUUGAAAAGAGGGCCCACCGGUAAAUUAAUGUAAUUGAAAUUUUGGAUAUUCUGUUAUCAAGUGGUAGCAUAUGCCAUGACUCUUUGCUUUUUGCUGCAACAUUCUGUCUUAAAGCAUACAGAGGACACAGUGAGGCUUAAAAGACCUCAUAAAACAACAAUUACUUUGAGACAUAACUAAAUUGUGGAUCAAAUGAUAUUGAAAACAUAACUUUGAGUAGUCUAAUAAUGUGUUCUUGGUUUCCAGAGGAUUGUGAACUCUGCAAUGACAACAUAAGAAUCCAUGUUAGAAACUGGUCAUCUGUCCUUAAAGUAACAUUUCCCUUGUUUCUGUGUCUCUUCCAACUCUAACUGCAGGGUUUGCCACACCCUUCAGAAAAAAAUGUUACACUAUUAAUUGCUAAUCUCAAGAGGUGUUGAUGUCAAUUAAUUGUAGAAUUUAUUACUUAAUUGUUAUUGAUUGGUACAUAAUCUAAAAUUUAUAUAUUAUACUGGCUUUCAACAGCAGUAAAAACAUCAUUUCCAUGGUGUAAAAGGAAAAUCGUGAGUUAGGUUAUGAAUUUAUUACCGUUGAUAUUUAAUAUUUAAUUUUCUGAAAAAACGGUAUUAGUAAAAUUUAUUCAAAAUAUUUAGCUACUAUCUUUCUUAAAGAGGAUUAUAUACUGUUUAUAAUUUAUAAACGCGAUAUGUGAAUAAGCAGAGACAUAAAUCUGACAUUAAACUGAAUACAAAGUAAUUGAUCAAACAGUUUGUGCAAAAUUUGAAAUGUAGACAAGGUUUAAACAAUAUACAAAAUUCAAUAACUUGUUGAGGGUCUAAUAUCCGAGAUCGAGUGAAUGCUUCUUUGCUCUAAAAGAGAUACCUGUGUCAAUUAUUUUUGGAAUAUUCUUAAGACGAGGAUCAAGUUUCCAUUAUGAGAAAAUUCGUUUCAUCAAUAGUUGUGUGGUGUAUACAGAAGAGGUUGGAAUGAGGGGAACUAAAGCAAAAAAUUUCAAGUAUACUAUGUUUGCUAACAAUAGAUUCAUCUCUGUAUGCUUGGGUAUCGAAUUCGGCUAGCAGAUUCCAUUCCUUCUAAAUAACAUGAUUCCUGAAUGCCGUGAUCAUUUUGGGUGACAAGAACAAGAUGAAUGCCAAGAAUGAGCCAAAGAAUAACUUGAUGAAAUAUUUGACAGNGUCAUGAUCAGCAUCUUCAGAAGUGCUUAUCUGAGAAUACAUUGCUUUUGCUGAUGGCAGAGCUUCUAUUACUGCAUCGGCCAAAUCUGUAAUGAANGAAGGGGUAAGACCAAGGGCAGGUACACGUGCCCAAUUCUUGAUGCCAGAUUCAAGAGCCAGUUCCUUGUACUCCAUGUCAAUUUCUUCAAGGGUCUCAAUAUGCUCACUCACAAAGCUGAGAUACAAUAAAACGGAUUACUUUUACUCAGGUAUAUUCACAACUUUCUACAGUAUUGUAACGAGUAACAUACUGUAAAACGCAUAAGCUACCGUCUAC